GAAAGUAAACAAGGGCGCAUGGAGGAUGCCUAGGCUCUCGGAGGCGAAGAAGGACGUGAUAAGCUGCGAAAAGUUACGGUAAGGCGCAAAUAGCCCUAGACCCGUAAAUAUCCGAAUGGGGCAACCCGGCCAGCAAUGGCCAUACCGCCAAGCGGUAAGCCAACGCGGGGAACUGAAACAUCUAAGUACCCGCAGGAAAAGAAAAUAACAAUGAUUCCGCCAGUAGUGGCGAGCGAACGCGGAACAGCCCAAACCACCCGUGUUACGGCACGAGUGGGGUAGAAGGAUCCACGCUACGGCAAGAAAUAAGUUAGCAGAAUACGAUGGAAAUCGUAGCCAGAGACGGUGACAGCCCGGUACGCGAAAACGGACAGAAGCCCAGUGGACACCUGAGUAACCCAGGACACGAGAAAUCCGGGGCGAAUCAGCGGGGCCCAUCCCGUAAGGCUAAAUACUCCCGAGAGACCGAUAGCGAACCAGUACUGUGAAGGAAAGGUGAAAAGAACCUCGAACAGAGGAGUGAAACAGACCCUGAAACCAUGCGCCUACAAGCGGUCGGAGCAUGUUAAAAUGUGACGGCGUGCCUUUUGCAUAAUGAACCUACGAGUUACUCUCGCUGGCAAGGUUAAGCGAUUCAGUCGCGCAGCCGAAGCGAAAGCAAGUCCGAACAAGGCGUACAGUCAGCGGGAGUAGACGCGAAACCAAGUGAUCUACCCUUGGUCAGGUUGAAGGUUGGGUAACACCAACUGGAGGACCGCACCGAUAAGCGUUGAAAAGCUUACGGAUGAACUGAGGGUAGGAGUGAAAGGCCAAUCAAACUUGGAGAUAGCUCGUACUCCCCGAAAUGCAUUUAGGUGCAGCCUCGAAGUAAAGUGAUAGAGGUAGAGCGACUGAUAAGAUGCGAGGGCUUCACCGCCUAUCAAGUCUUGACAAACUCCGAAUGCGUGUCAGUUCUAUGUCAGGAGUGAGGGCAUGGGUGCUAAGGUCCAUGUCCUAAAGGAGAACAAUCCGGACCAACAGCUAAGGUCCCGAAAUGAAUACUAAGUUGAACUAACGAAGUCAGAUUGCUAAGACAGCUAGGAUGUUGGCUUGGAAGCAGCCAUUCAUUUAAAGAGUGCGUAACAGCUCACUAGUCGAGGAGUUUGGCGUGGAUAAUAAUCGGGCAUUAAGUGUUUUACCGAAGCUAUGGGAUCAGUAAUGAUCGGUAGGGGAGCAUUCCACUCUGCGUCGAAGGUGAAGCGUGAGCUUUGCUGGAGCGUGUGGAAAAGCAAAUGUAGGUAUAAGUAACGAUAAAGGGGGUGAGAAACCCCCUCGCCGAAAGACUAAGGUUUCCUGAUCAACGCUAAUCGGAUCAGGGUUAGUCGGGUCCUAAGGCUCAGCCGAACGGUGAGGCCGAUGGCAGAACAGGUUAAUAUUCCUGUACUACCUGUAGGAGUGAUGUGGAGACGGAGGAGUGACAACGCCGCGGACUGACGGAAUAGUCCGUUAAAGGGUGUAGAUGUUGAUUAUCCCAGGCAAAUCCGGGAUAAGAGUCGAACCUGACAGUAUACCAAUUUCCUCGGAAAACGGUAAUAGUGCGUGUAAACAUACUCCCAAGAAAAUCCGCUAAACUUAAUCUUACAGGUACCCGUACCGUAAACGGACACACGUAGUCGGGUUGAAUAUACUCAGGCGCUUGAGUGAAUCACGGUUAAGGAACUAGGCAAAUUGACCCUGUAACUUCGGGAUAAAGGGUCCCUACCCGGUGACGGGAGGGCGCAGAGAAUAGGUCCAGGCAACUGUUUAACAAAAACACAGGGCUGUGCAAAAUUUCAAGAUGAAGUAUACAGCCUGACACCUGCCCGGUGCCGGAAGGUUAAGAGGAGAGCUAAUCGCAAGAGAAGGCUUGAAUUGAAGCCCCGGUAAACGGCGGCCGUAACUAUAACGGUCCUAAGGUAGCGAAAUUCCUUGUCGGGU
rnacentral:rRNA from 1 species